GCGACUACGCUCUAACGCGCGCGCGUGUUCGCCUUUUCGCUUUUGUUAUUACCAGUCAAAUCCAUCUUUCCGAACGCUCAGCGACUUCUUCAUCACUUUCUCUUCCCCCUUCGUCCAUUUCACGCGCUUCCUCUUCCUUCCUCCGUCGAUUCGCCGCCAUUUCGCUCCAGCUCCUCGAGAUCUCUGAUUACAGAAUGCGUAUUUCGAAUUUCGUUUACUGUUAUUUGAAGUUCAAAUAAUAACUCUCGUUUUAGUUGCUACUUGAGCUGGAUUUGGAGGUAUUGUCAUCUGGAAAUCAUUAGGAAUAAGUUUAGAACUGUGGGUUUGUUAGUACAAGGUAAUCUUAUCUCUUCUAUGGUGUGUGGAUACAUUGAAAGCAAAAUAUGGGACUUUUUGAUGACUUGCCUUUGCCUGAAGACAAAGCUUAUUUGAGACGUGAACUCGCUAAAAUAGAUGAGAGUUGGACUGUUGCUCGUUUUGAUUCACUACCUCAUGUUGUUCACAUUUCGACGUCAAAAGAUCGUGAUGCUGCUGCACAAUUGUUGAAGGAGCAAAGUGAUGUUGUUGAGGAGGUUGUGGAUGAAGUAGUACAAACCUAUCAUAGUGGCUUCAACAAAGCUAUCCAAAACUAUUCCCAGAUCUUGAAGCUUUUCAGUGAUUCCACUGAGAGUAUCUCUUAAAGGUAGAUUUGGCAGAGGCAAAGAAGCACCUUAGUGCGCGCAAUAAACAAUUGCAUCAAUUAUGGUAUCGCUCAGUUACAUUGCGACACAUAAUCUCCUUAUUGGAUCAAAUUGAAGGCAUUGCUAAGGUUCCAGCACGUAUGCUCAUUGCUGAGAAGCAAUUUUAUGCUGCAGUUCAAUUGCAAGUGCAGUCUAUGCUGAUGCUUGAGAGAGAAGGUCUCCAAACUGUAGGAUUUCAACUCACUCACAUUUUAUCCUAUUUUCAUCUUAUUUUGAGUAGGAACCUGCUAUUUUUCAUUAAUAGUUCCCCACCAUGGUUCUGCACUUCACUUGGUAUUUUAGUUAAAAGGAGCAAGUGAUUUGUACAGAUAAAAGGGCAAACAUACUAAAAGCAGGUGAUACGAUAUCCAUCAUAUCAGAAAAUCUAUAAACAAACAAAGAACAGAUGUGGCUAAACAAAUACAACAAAGCUGUUGCAUCUGUCUGCUUGUUAGAUAUUAAUAUUGCCUCAAGAAGACUAAGAAUGUGAGAAAGUCCUGUGCGUCAUAGAGAGCUAUAAUUGUUAUUAUAUCCUCUAUUAUAUGGAAAGGCAAAGGAAGUUGAAGUUUACGGCCAAUAUUUUUCUAAGAGAUGAAGAUUCCUGCAAAAAAUCAGAACAAAAACCUUUAAUCAAAAAUUUCUUAAGUCCGUAUGUUGGUUCCAGCUCAAAUAAUUGACCACAGAAAAGUUUCAAAUAUUUCCAA